AGUGAACGCUGGCGGUAGGCCUAACACAUGCAAGUCGAACGGCAGCACAGUAAGAGCUUGCUCUUACGGGUGGCGAGUGGCGGACGGGUGAGGAAUACAUCGGAAUCUACUUUUUCGUGGGGGAUAACGUAGGGAAACUUACGCUAAUACUGCAUACGACCUACGGGUGAAAGCAGGGGAUCUUCGGACCUUGCGCGAUUGAAUGAGCCGAUGUCGGAUUAGCUAGUUGGCUGGGUAAAGGCCCACCAAGGCGACGAUCCGUAGCUGGUCUGAGAGGAUGAUCAGCCACACUGGAACUGAGACACGGUCCAGACUCCUACGGGAGGCAGCAGUGGGGAAUAUUGGACAAUGGGCGCAAGCCUGAUCCAGCCAUACCGCGUGGGUGAAGAAGGCCUUCGGGUUGUAAAGCCCUUUUGUUGGGAAAGAAAAGCAGCAGGUUAAUACCCCGCUGUUCUGACGGUACCCAAAGAAUAAGCACCGGCUAACUUCGUG
rnacentral:rRNA from 1 species